CCUGUUGCUGCUCACUGAUUAAACCUGUGUGUGAUUGUUUAAACCCUUCUAGGACUACCAUUAUAAAAGUCCGCAUGAGCAUCUUUUUACAUUUUUGGAUGCUGCAGAGUCAUUAUUAGGAGCACUCCAAUGUUCUUUACAUCUAUAAAAUCCUUAUAAGUCCUCCUUUCCAAGUUUGUAUGCCAUUUAUCAAUAAUAACUGAUUAAAAAUAGAAAAUUUGCAAAACAAUAACAAGAACUCCAUCCGUUUAUAAU